GCUGGAAUAGCUCAGUCAAUAGAACAUGAAGCUCUUAAUCUCAGGGUCAUGGGUUCAAGCCCCAUGUUGGGCA